CGAGUGUCGACUACCGGACAAAUGCUCUAAUGUUAAUAGAUGUGUAAAAUUCCCGGAGAAUGAGUGUUACGCCCAAUCCCUUUUAUUAUUGUGGUUUGUACAACUAGCUGUGACUAACGAACGAUUGGUAUAACCUCAACAAACAGUAUCAGUAUGGUUUGUGUAGUAAGGCAUGAUGUUUAUCAACUGGUCUUGACAAUAUGCAUGUUUGUAGUCUCUGUCAAUGGUGUUGCACAGACAGCAAUAUCUUGUGGUGAAUCUGAAGGAGUUGUAGGACAGCCACAAGUCCUAAGUUGUAGUAUUUCUGGUAGUAUAGAAAACAAUAUAUUCUGGUAUCGUUAUAAUGCAACUUAUAACGAGAAUAUAGUUCAAUGUUCUACUUCAUUGGCCAAAACUGUUAGUACAUGUGUAGCACCACCUGAUUUAAGAUCUCGGUAUAAUGUUAGCACUGAGAAACAACCCCCAAGAAAGCCAUCAUUUACAAUUAUCUCUGUAUCAGAGGAAGAUUUAGAAGUAUUGUGGUUAUGUUUGGACAGGAUUACGUUCCCAGAUAGAGCAUCAAUACCGUAUUCUUCAACAUGCAGUUUAAAACAAGGACCUGCACCUGAUCGACAAUGCAGUUGGGAAGGUGGUGUGGCAUUUAUCUGUGAUUUUGUUGCUGGUGUUGUUGUUUUCUUGGUGAUAAUCUUUGUUAUUAAACCAGAUCUUGCUACCCAGUUCAAGAUUGUUGUCAUGGUUAUUUUUGCUGUUGCAUCUGGAAUUCUUGCUGCUGGAUCUUCCCCAGCAUGUAAUAAUGGUAUAUCAGUUGGUGGAAUAGUUGGUAUCAAUAUCGGCUGUAUGCUCGCUGUAUUUAUAAUAACAAUUCUAGUUAUGAGAGCCGCUUGUUAAUAAACUGAAAUGACUGAAAGAUGAACAAGUAGUUUUCAUCAUAUGAAGAAAUUAAAGACAUAGCAGAAUAAUUUACAUUUAGACAAACUGGCAUUAUUUAAAUAGAGUCUAGCUGCCAUAUUCCGCAUAAAAGAAAACUUGAAAUAAAUUUCAAAAAUUAAUUUGUUUUAAUAACAAAUUUUUAUCUGAAUUUAGAAGAAAACGCUUUUGCCCGAUUAAUCCUUUCUGUUUGGUUGGAUGAAUAUCAGACAUAUUACUUUAAACUUUGAACAGAACAGUAGGACAUUAAACCCCAUUUUAUUUCAUUUAAACAUUGAAUUUUAAUUCAACAUUUUCUUUUUACUGGAAUUUUAAAUUAUUAUAAAACAACACUACAGACCUACAGCAGAAUUAUUUCUUAUAUUUACAGUACGUUACAAUACAGUACAAACUUGAAUGAUUGAACAGUUCAUUAGAUACCAUCAUAACACCAUGGUUGCUGUGUCAUGUCAUGUCUCUUUCUUCCUAUCUACAUGUUGAUAGGUUGGACUUUAAACUGUCUAUAUGUUGUCAGUAUGUCUGCACUAAUUUUUAUACGCCCACAUUUUCAUGUGGACGUAUAUAUUGUCGUCGCCCCUGUCAAACCGUCCGUCCACAAUUGAUUUUGGACACUCUACAUGUCACAAUUCUUAUCCGAUUUUGACGAAACUUGAAAUAUAGGUUUAUCUCCAAAAGAUCUUGGUCGCUUUACAUAUUGGCAUGUAUCGGAUCGAAACUUCAUGGAUUAUGGCCCCCGAUUGUACGAAAAAAUCAUGUUUUUAGCUUGUGGAACCUAUAGAGGUCACAAUUUUUAUCCGAUUUUGUUGAAACUUGAAAUGUAAGUUUAUAUUCGAGAAUAUCGGACCGUAACUUCCUGAAUCAUGGCCCCUGAUUGUACGAAAAAUCGCGUUUUUAGCUUGUGGACCCUAUAGAGGUCAUAAUUUUUAUCUGAUUUAACAAACCGUUGUAGUAUUUCACCGUUACAUCCUAAGGAUGGUUGAGUUCGAAUUUCGUGAAAAUCGGCCCAAAACUGACAGACAAAAUGGCCGGCCCUCGUUCUCAAAUGGCGUAAAAAUAUGCUGUAUCAAGGUUCUGGACCCUAUAGAGGUCACAAUUUUUAUCCGAUUUUGUUGAAACUUGAAAUGUAAGUUUAUAACCCAAAGAUCUCGGUUCCUGUCGAUAUUCGUGCAUUACGAACCGUAACUUCCUGAAUUAUGGCCCUAAUUGUCCGAAAAAUCGCAUUUUUAGCUUGUGGACCCUAUAGAGGUCAUAAUUUUUAUCCCAUUUAAAAAACCGUAUUAUUAUAUCACCGUUACACCCUAAGGACGGCUGAGUUAGAAUUUCAUGAAAAUCGGACCUAAACUGACAGACAAAAUGGCCACCCCUCGUACUCAAAUAGCAUAAAAAGAUGUUGUGGACCCUCUAGAGGUUACAAUUUUCUUUUGAUAUUGAUGAAACUUGAAAUAUAAGUUUAUAACUCAAAGAUCUUGGUUCCUUUCGAUAAUCGCUCAUAGUAACUUACUUCCUGAAUUAUGGCCCCUGAUUGUACGAAAAACCGCGUUUUUAAAAAAAACGUUCAAAUAUAUCACUGUUACACGGUAUUUCUGGCUGAGUUCGAAUUUUAUGAAAAUCAGACCAAAACUGCCGGACAAAAUGGCCACCCCUCGUACACAAUUAGCGUAAAAAUAUGGUAUAUCAAUGUUGUGGACCCUCUAGAGGUCACAAUUUUCUUCUGAUUUUGAUGAAACUUGAAAUGUAAGUUUAUAACCCAAAGAUUGCUUUCGAUAUCCGUGCAUAUCGAAUCGUAACGUCCUGAAUUAUGGCCCUUGAUUGAACAAAAAAAUCAUGUUUUUAGCUUGUGAUCCCUGUAGAGGUCACAAUUUUUAUCUGAUUUAAAAAAAAUGUGUGAAUAUAUCACCAUUACACACGAAGAUCUUGGAUCCUUUUGAUAAUCGCGGAUACCUGAACUUAACUUCCUGGAUAAUGGCCCCUGAUUGUUUGAAAAGUGGCAUUUUCAGCUUGCGGAUUCUCUAGAGGUCACAAUUUUUUUUCCGAUUUUAAAUAACGUUCAAAUAUUUCACCACCAUAAUGAAGGUUGAAUUCGAAUUUCGGGAAAAUCGAAAUGAACCUGCCCAACAAAAUGGCCGCUCUUUGUACACAAAUUGUGUAAAAGUAUGCAAUACGAAGGUUGUCAACUCUCUACAGGUCACAAUUUUUGUCCGAUUCUGAUGAAACUAAACAUAUCUUUAUAUCCCAAAGAUCUCAGUCCCUUUUGAUAUUUGCGCAUUUCAGACCAUAACUGUCUGGAUUAUUGCUCUUGAUUGUACAAAAAAUCCUGUUUGUUUUUAGCUUGUUCUCUAUCCAUCUCUUGCAAAAUGUGGACGUAUCCUGCCUUUAAACCUGUUUAAAUGGUGCUUCAAAAAAAAAAAUUUACAAGCAAAUAAUGUUUAAUUGCUUUUCUCAAAAGCUUUUAAUUCCAAAUUUUUACCUGGAUAUUUAUCAGUAAAACAAAAAAUGAAAUAACCACGACCACAGCCUAAUCUUUUUAAUAGACCUGUACGUCAUGUAUUUAUUUAUGAUUGUUUAUGAUUAUUUAUGAAGUAAAGCGAAACACAAAUUAAACAAUUAAAAUUAUUAUUUAAUGCUUUAUUUAAUAAUCUUUAUGAUGACAUUUGUUAAUAAUUUGUACCUUUUUUCACAUUUUUAUGUACAAAAUAUUCUUGUUAAUUUUUUUUAUAUAAAAUUAGUUAAAUUUAUUUCCAAGAAGUAUUUGUUGGUUUUUUGUUUUUUUUUAAAGUUUUUAUAACUCUUAUUUAAUCAUUAUGCAUAAUUUAGGCCUAAGUGAGUUAUCUUGCCUUUUCUUGCUUUAAGUUCCAAUAUAUUAACAAUACCAAUCAAUGUACCCGGUGUUUACUUAUCCUGCUUCAAGUUUCAAUAUAUUAACAAGUGAUUAUAAUACCCUCAACCUGCUGCAAGUUUCAAUAUAGAUUAUAAUACCUGUCAGGGUAGCUAUUGAUGAUUUUUGAGAGCUCUUCUUCCGCAGUAUUCAGUCAUUGAAAAUAUUUAACAACAUUUUGAAUAAAUUAUAUAUGGAAGCAUGUAUUGUUUUAUUAUAUCAAUCAAAUUAAACAAUUAAAACAUUCACGCUGAAAGCUCAAUUUUCAUAUUAUUGUGCCAUAUGUCUAUAAGCUAGUUUUUUUAUGAUUUAAUGUAUGUCAAAAUGAAGUAAAGUGGAGAAUUUUUUACCUGGAUGUAUUUUUUAUUUAUUUAUGCAUUUAUCUACCGUAAACAUACAAGUAUUUGAACUUUAUUUAUUUGAAUAUACAUAUAUAUAUAUAUAUAAUAUAUUAUGUGUAAUAAUCAUAUUUAAUAUGAUCUAAAAAUAAUAUUUAUCUUGCUAUUUCUUUUUCUUAAUGAGACAAAAAGUCAGAUUUACAAUCAUGCCCAAAACAAAAAUUUUAUUAAAACAAAUUGAUGUUUAUUGUUUUAUUAAAUCAGUCAAAUAAACAAAUAACAUACAUUAUGCAAGAGCUAAAUCUGCCUAUUACAGGUCUUACUUUAGGCCUGAAAUGGUAUCUAAAUUAUCAAUUAGACAUCUAUUAACUUAUCCAGAUCAUAAUCAACUCUCGAUGUCAUCGCUAGUCUGCGAUGGUUAUUGGAUUAGGUUCCGAUUUGCUGUUCGACUUCCAUUGAUGAUUUAAUCAUGAAAUGGAUAAUUGAGACCAAUUUUUUUUUAUCGUACCGACUUUAGUAAUGAUGAUCGAGGCUAGUCCGAAAAUUCAAUCACUAAAAUCUCGGUUCAGAGUGGAUCACUUUGACUGAAAUUGUCAGCAAAUUGCCUUUACAUUAUCUAGUUUUUAUACGCCCACAUUGAAAUGUGGUCGUAUAUUGUCGUCGCCCCCAUCCGUCCGGCGGUCCGGCGUCCACAAGUUAAUAUCCGAUUGACUUUAAAUUUAUACACAGUGUUUAAGGCCAUGAGACGAAGAAGCCUAUUGAUUUUCAGCGAUUUCCGAUAAUUACUGCCAAAGUUAUGGCCCUUGAUCACUUAAAAAAUUGUUGUGGACGUUCUAGAGGCCAAAGUUAAUAUCCGAUUGACUUUAAAUUUAUACACAGUGUUUAAGGCCAUGAGACGAAGAAGCCUAUUGAUUUUCAGCGAUUUCCGAUAAUUACUGCCAAAGUUAUGGCCCUUGAUCACUUCAAAAAAUGUUGUGGACGUUCUAGAGGCCAAAGUUAAUAUCAGAUUGACUUUAAAUUUAUACACAGUGUUUAAGGCCAUGAGACGAAGAAGCAUAUUGAUUUUCAGCGAUUUCCGAUAAUUACUGCCAGAGUUAUGGCCCUUGAUCACUUCAAAAAAUCUUGUGGACGCUCUGGAGGCCAAAGUUAAUAUCCGAUUGACUUUUAAAUUUAUACACAGUGUUUAAGGCCAUGAAACGAAGAAGCCUAUUGAUUUUCAGCGAUUUCUGAUAAUUACUGCCAAAGUUAUGGCCCUUGAUUACUUCAAAAAAUCUUGUGGAUGCUCUAGAGGCCAAAGUUAAUAUCCGAUUGACUUUAAAUUUAUACACAGUGUUUAAGGUCAUGCGACGAAGAAACCUAUUGAUUUUCACUGAUUUCCGAUAAUUACUGCCAGAGUUAUGGCCCUUGAUCACUUUGAAAAAUCUUGUGGACGCUCUAGAGGCCAAAGUUAAUAUCCGAUUGACUUUAAAUCUACAUACAGUGUUUAAGACCAUGAGACGAAGAAGGCUAUUGAUUUUCAACGAUUUCCGAUAAUUACUGCCAGAGUUAUGGCCCUUGAUCACUUCAAAAAAUCUUGUGGACAUUCUAGGGGCCAAAGUUAAUAUCCGAUUGAAUUUAAAUUUAUACACAGUGUUUAAGGCCAUGAGACGAAGAAUCCUAUUGAUUUUCAGCAAUUUCCGAUAAUUACUGCCAAAGUUAUGGCCCUUGAUCACUUCAAAAAAUCUUGUGGACGCUCUAGAGGCCAAAGUUAAUAUCCGAUUGACUUUAAAUUUAUAUACAGUGUUUAAGGCCAUGAGACGAAGAAGACUAUUGAUUUUCAGCAAUUUCCGAUAAUUACUGCCAGAGUUAUGGCCCUUGAUCACUUCAAAAAAUCUUGUGGACACCUUAGAGGCCAAAGUUAAUAUCAGAUUUACUUUAAAUUUAUACACAGUGUUUAAGACCAUGAGACGAAGAAGCCUAUUGAUUUUCAGCGAUUUCUGAUAAUUUUUGCCAGAGUUAUGGCCCUUGAUCACUUUGAAAAAUCUUGUGGACACUCUAGAGGUCAAAGUUAAUAUCCGAUUGACUUCAAAUUUAUACACAGUGUUUAAGGUCAUUAGAUGAAGAAUUCUAUUGAUUUUCAGCGAUUUCCGAUAAUUACUGCCAGAGUUAUGGCCCUUGAUCACUUCAAAAAAUCUUGUGGACGCCUUAGAGGCCAAAGUUAAUAUCAGAUUGACUUUAAAUUUAUACACAGUGUUUAAGACCAUGAGACGAAGAAGCCUAUUGAUUUUCAGCGAUUUCUGAUAAUUUUUGCCAGAGUUAUGGCCCUUGAUCACUUUGAAAAAUCUUGUGGACACUCUAGAGGUCAAAGUUAAUAUCCGAUUGACUUUAAAUUUAUACACAGUGUUUAAGGUCUUGAGAAAAAUCUUGUGGAUGCUCUAGAGGCUAAAGUUAAUAUUCGAUUGACUUUAAAUUUAUACACAGUGUUUGAGGCCAUGAGCUGAAGAAUCAUAUUGAUUUUCAAAGUGAUCAAGUUAUGGCCCUUGAUCACUUUGAAAAAUCUUGUGACGCUCUAGAGACUAAAGUUAUCAUCUGAUUGACUUCAGAUUGAUACACAGAGUUUAAGGUCUUGAGACAAACAAGUAUAUUGAUUUUCAAUGAAUCUUUAUGACUUGAACAGCUAAAUGCAUGAUGUUAAAAGUUUCGUAUACCAAACGUUAUCAUGGGGCAGAACUAAUGGUUUUCUGAUAAUUACUUAAUGAGUUGUUACUCUUAAUCAGAUUUUAAUGUAUUAUAUAUGUUUCAUUACCGAAAAAAGUAAAAAUAUGCGACAACUCUUGUUGACUGCCCGGACGAUAUAGCUGCUGUGGGCGUAUGUUUCGUUGCCUGGCAACCUAUCUUUAACUAUUAUAGUGAGAACUGCCAGUUCUUUAUCUAAUCUCAUAUAAUGUAUGUUUAAGACAUUCAUGGUUAAUCCAUUGUAUAUAUAUUGUCAUAUAUAGUGUCAUAUGUAGAUAUAUUAUUAACACCUGAAGAUGUCUAUAGAGGGCAGAUAGAUAGAUUGCGAUUUGGUGUAUAUCAAAAUAAAGUAAAGUGCUUGAUUUU